rnacentral:tRNA from 1 species
GAGAUUGUGGCUUAGUGGUAGAGUGCUUGCCUAGCAUGCAUGAAGUCCUGGGUUCGAUUCCUCAGUACCA